UGGCAGCCACAAAAAUGAUGA
rnacentral:piRNA from 1 species